rnacentral:rRNA from 1 species
AUGGCCCCCCUCUCCUCCCUCUUGCUCGCGACGGCUCUCCUCCUUGCUGGUUCGGCCUUGUUCAACCGGUACGACGCCGGAAGCGGCAGCACAACCACCACCACGCAUCUGCAUUUCUAUAUGCAUGAUGAUUACACUGGCCUGCGCCCCACAGCGAUGCGCAUCGUGUCCGGGCGGUCCCUUGGCACGCCGGCCGUGAGCGACAACACCAACAUUACGGUGCCAUCCACGAGCGCACCACGGCAGUUCGUGAAAUGUUUUGAAAUGCGAAAUAAAUGUGAAAGCCCGUCUGUAUGGGAGCGUGAUGUACAAGUGGCAAUAAUUCAUGAUGAGGGGGGCAUCCAAAUAAAUGCGAAAGCCACGGGCCAACUAUCCAUGCACGGAAAGGAUUACCAUCGCUUUCCCCUCCCCACGUCGCAAUCGAGGGCAACCGUAGCUCGCCACCACCCUCCCCUCUCCUCCUGGCCCUCCUCCCUCGCCAUCCCAAUGAGGAACCGCCGGUAA